GACGAACGCUGGCGGCGUGCUUAACACAUGCAAGUCGAACGGAAAGGCCCUGCGUUUGUGGGGUGCUCGAGUGGCGAACAGGUGAGUAACACGUGAGUAACCUGCCCCUGACUUUGGGGUAACAUCAGGAAACAGGGGCUCAUACCCGAUAGGAGCUCCUGAUGCAUGGGGGGGGAUGGUAAGAGUCGGCGGUUGGGGAUGGACUCGCGGUCUAUCAGCUUGUUGGUGGGGUAGUGGCGUAACACGGCUUCGACGGGUAGCCGGCCUGGGAGGGUGACCGGCCACAUUGGGACUGAGGUACGGACCAGACUCCUACGGGAGGCAGCAGUGGGGAAUAUUGCACAAUGGGCGGAAGCCUGAUGCAGCAACGCCGCGUGCGGGAUGACGGCCUUCGGGGUAUAAACCGCUUUCGCCUGUGACGAAGAGUGAGUGACGGUAAUGGGUCAAGAAGCACCGGCUAACUACGUG
rnacentral:rRNA from 1 species